AGAGUUUGAUCAUGGCUCAGAACAAACGCUGGCGGCGUGCCUAAUACAUGCAAGUCGAACGAGGAAAGCUUUCGGGUGAGUACUAGUGGCGCACGGGUGAGGAAUACAUGGGUAAUCUACCUUCGAGUUUGGGAUAACUAGUCGAAAGAUUGGCUAAUACCGGAUAAGACCACAGGAUCUGCGGAUCUAGGGGUUAAAGGUUUUUCGCUUGAAGAUGAGCCCAUGUGGGAUUAGCUAGUUGGUAAGGUAAUGGCUUACCAAGGCUACGAUCCCUAACUGGUCUUAGAGGAUGAUCAGUCACACUGGAACUGAGACACGGUCCAGACUCCUACGGGAGGCAGCAGUAGGGAAUAUUGCGCAAUGGGGGAAACCCUGACGCAGCGACGCCGCGUGAGUGAUGAAGGCCUUCGGGUCGUAAAGCUCUGUCGUAUGGGAAUAACAUAAUGAAUGUACCAUGCAAGAAAGGAUCGGCUAACUUCGUGCCAGCAGCCGCGGUAAGACGAGGGAUCCUAGCGUUGUUCGGAAUCAUUGGGCGUAAAGCGGGUGUAGGCGGGCUUUUAAGUCAGAUGUGAAAUCCCAGGGCUCAACCCUGGAAGUGCAUUUGAUACUGGAAGUCUUGAGUGUGGUAGAGGCUAUUAGAAUUCCUGGUGUAGUGGUGAAAUACGUAGAUAUCAGGAGGAAUACCGGAGGCGAAGGCGGAUAGCUGGGCCAACACUGACGCUGAGACCCGAAAGCGUGGGGAUCAAACAGGAUUAGAUACCCUGGUAGUCCACGCCGUAAACGAUGGAUACUUGUUGUUAGAGGUAUUGACCCCUUUAGUGACGUAGCUAACGCGUUAAGUAUCCCGCCUGGGGAGUACGGUCGCAAGAUUAAACUCAAGAAAUUGACGGGGCCCGCACAAGCGGUGGAGCAUGUGGUUUAAUUCGAUGCAACGCGAAGAACCUUACCUAGGCUUGAC
rnacentral:rRNA from 1 species